rnacentral:lncRNA from 1 species
GAACACAAAAUGGCGACACGUGGUUAGCAUUCGUCGCCAACGAGAAAUUGGGGUCGGCCCGAAAGCUCUAGAAUGCACCCCUCUUCCUCCCCGGGGCCUUCCACCUCCGCGAGUUUUAUGACUUAAAAAAGCCCACAGGCUGGUCUGAAGGUCGGAGGCCUAAUUUUAACGCGUUUUCCUCCCUUUAAUUUGAAACGGGAACGCGAAUGACUGUAAAAUAGGAAGACAAACAUAAAGAUGAAGUGCUUAAUUCAAGGUCACACAAUGUCGGGGAUGGACCUCCAGAUUUCCUUACUGGAAAACAAGCUCAGGGCUCCCACUGAUUGUACAUUAUGAGACGGAGUCUUGCUAUGUUGCCCAGGCUGGUCUUGAACUCCUCACCUCAAGCGAUCCUCCCGUCUUGGCCUCCCAAGUGUCAGGAUUACGGGCAUGUGCUAUCACACCCAACCUGAUACAUUGCCUUUAUAAAUUUUUUUUUCUUUAUUCUAAAAACCAGAAAAAACAAAACUGGAUACAUGUGCAGAACAUGCAGGUUUGUUACAUAGCUGUACGUGUGCCAUGGUGGUUUGCUGCACCUAUUGACCUAUCCUGUGAGACGUGGUCUUGUAACACAGUGGUUAAGAAUGUGACUUUGGAGCCAGCCUGCUAGGGGCUGAAUUCUGACUCAGCCAUUUACUAACUGUGUGACCUUAGGCUGGAGUGCAAUGGCAUGAUCUCGGCUCAUCACAACCUCUGCUUCCUGGGUUCAAGCGAUUCUCCUGCCUCAGCCUCCCGAGUACCUGGGACUACAGGCACUCGCCACCAUGCCCGGCUGAUUUUUGUAUUUUUAAUAGAGAUGGUUUCACUAUGUUGGCCAGGCUGGUCUCGAACUCCUGACCUUGUGAUCUGCCCACCUCAGCCUCGAAAAGUGCUGGGAUUACAGGCGUGAGCCACUGCGCCCAGCCUUGUAUUUUUUUUCAGUUUGGGUAGCUGUCCCUAAUUCAUUUGUUAAAGGAGAAGCAAGAGCAAGAACCUUUAAUCUGUUCUCCUCUUCCCUAAUUUGAAAGUAGCUUGUUAUUUUGAAUAUCACUUUCUCUGAAAUAGCACAUCUCCAUCUCAGAGAAUGGAUUUAAUGUUUGGAUACAGCCAAAAGUCAUUUCAUUACCAAACCAUGGGGUGAAUAUACCAUGUAAAGCAGUUUGGGAUCAGAACUCACAGUCUGAAUUGUAAGUGAUGAGACUGCUGUCUCUCUGCUACAGCUUCUUGGCUGGCUCUGAAGGCUCUUUGAAGGCAGAUCCUAACAAGGGGACUGCUUUGAAGGGCCAUUGUUCAUUUGGAAUGAUAAAGUCUAUGUUGUUCAAAAAACAAAUGCUUGUAGCAGGUAUUUUUUCACUCCAGACUGAGAAUAUUGGUGGGAUAUUGAUAAGGGGUACUGAAUGGUAAUAAACAUGUGCUCUAGCUCUGUGCUAGUCAGCUUAUUUCAGAACUCUAGUUUGAUUCAGUUUCUUGCCUCUGACUCAAAAUGGAGGGAGAGUGAUUUUUACAUAAGAGAACACACCCACAUAUCCUUUUGGCAGCAGCUACCUGCCAGAGAUGUUGAAGAAGAGUAGCCAACCUUUACACAGCAGAUAUUGUGUGCCAGUCAUAGUCCUAAGUAUAAUACCUUACAUGUAUAAACUUCUUAUAAGGUUGGUGCUCUGUACCGAAUUGAAUAGUAUCCCCCAAAAUUCAUGUUGUCCCAGAACCUAUGAAAGUGAUCUUACUUGAGGGAGGGGGGAGGGGGGAGGGAUAGCAUUAGGAGAUAUACCUAAUGCUAAAUGACGAGUUAAUGGGUGUAGCACACCAGCAUGGCACAUGUAUACAUAUGUAACUAACCUGCACAUUGUGCACAUGUACCCUAAAACUUAAAGUAUAAUAAUAAUAAAAUAAAAAAAAAAAAGAAAGUGAUCUUACUUGGAAAUAAGGUCUUUGCACAUAUGAUCAAGUUGAGAUGAAGUUGUACUGGAAAGUCUGUCUAGUGACUGGUGUUGUCAUAAGAAGAGAGGGACACAGAGGGAAGAUGGCCACAUGAAGAUGGAGGCAGAGAUUGCAGUUAUGCUGCUGCAAACUAAGGAAUGGCUCUGGCCCUCCAAGGAUUGCUGAUAACCACCAGAAACUAGAAGAGACAAGGAAGGAUUCUUCCCUAGAGCCUUCAGAGGGAGCAUGGCCCUACUGACACCUGGAUUUCAAACUUGUAGCUUCCUAAACUGCAAG